CUUUAAUACAACAGUUAUAUGCUUGGCCCUCAUUUGUCAACAUUGAUAUGUAGCCUAAAUGUGUUAUUAUUAUCAAUGUAUCUAAUUAGGAUUAAAAAACGGGGAUAAUGUACAUACAAUGUAUUACAUGUUUAUCAAGGUGUUAUGACUCCUGUGUCUGACUGCUGACAGACUGACUAGUGGAUAUUAUGCAAUGAUAUUCCUCUGCGAGUCCCUCCCCACACAAACACACAGUCAGUCACACACUGAUAGUACAAGGGAAGAAGAGGAGGAGGAGGACGUGGGUUGAGAAGCGUCGCGUGCUGCUGCGGCUAUAGGUCAUUAAGGCGCGCGGUUUGUUCGUUGCUGAACAGACGCAGAUCGGUGUGUGAAUGAGAGUUCUAGGAGGAGAGAGAGAGACGACAAUGAUCCGUAACUGGUGUGUUUGCGUGUGAGAGGAGAGAAGAGGAGCGGGAGUUGGAGAGACAGCGAGAGACAGACAUGGAGGACUCGGAGCCUGGUGGGGAAGACGGUAUGGUCAGCGGCUGGCGGUGGAAUAACCGGAACACCGGAGCUCGAGACCAGGUUCAGCUCAGGCAGAAGAUCCGGGAUUUACCAGGACUGUUGAAACAUGGACUGCACUUACGGAAGAAAAGCGUUUACAUUCAAACGGCUCUCCUGUGAAGUAGUGACGCGCGACAAUGUAUGCCUAGUUUCCUGAAAUGAGUCUAAUUCAUUAUUUCAAAAAAAUUCAUACUCUUCCAAGUAAUCGAACAGUAUUCUAACGUCGUUAGAAUAGCCUCGCCCACACUUAGUGUGUGUGUGUGUGUGUGCGUGUGUGUGUGUGUGUGUGUGUGUUAAUACUGUGUUCUGACUGUGUGUUCUGAUUUUGUCUUGGCAGCAGUCACCUGAUACCAUCCCUGGACCCAGCACAAGCCCUACUGUUCACAAGGUAAACACACAACACACACUCACGUCCAGAGGUGAUGUCAGGUCGUCAAAUAAAUCAUGUUUUUUUUCAUCAAACAGAGGUAGCUUGACAUCAUAAUCAUAUACAGUGCAUUUGGAAAGUAUUCAGGCCCCUUGACUUUUUCCACAUUUUGUUACAUUACAGCCUUGUACUAAAAUGGAUUACCUGUUUUUUCCCCCUCAUUAAUCUACACAUAAUACCCCAUAAUGACAAAACUAAAAACGUUUUUUUUUUUUGUUUUUUUUUGCAAAUGUAUAAAAAAAUAAACAACGGAAAUAUCACAUUUACAUAAGUAUUCAGAUCCUCUACUCAGCACUUUGUUAAAGAACUCUGGAUCUCUGUCCGAGUGACCAUUGGGUUCUUAGUCACCUCCCUGACCAAGGCCCUGCUCAGUUUGGCCGGGUGGCCAACUCUAGGAAGAGUCUUGGUGGUUCCAAACUUCUUCCAUUUAAGAUUGAUGGAGGCUACUGUGUUCUUGGGGACCGUCAAUGCUGCAAAAACAUUUUUUGGUACCUUAACCCAGAUCUGUGCCUCGACACAAUCCUGUCUUGGAGCUCUACGGACAAUUCCUUCAACCUCAUGGCUUGGUUUUUGCUCUGACAUGCACUGUCAACUGUGGGACCUUAUUUAGACAGGUGUGUGCCUUUCCAAAUCAUGUCCAAUCAAUUGAAUUCACCACAGGUGGACUCCAAUCAAGAUGUAGAAACGUCUCAAGGCUGAUCAAUGGAAACAGGAUGUACCUGAGCUCAAUUUCGAGUCUAUUAGAAAAAGGUAUGAAUAAUUAUGUAAAUAAGGUAUUUCUGUUUUUUAUUUUUCACUUUGUCAUUAUGGGGUAUUGUGUGUAAAAUGAUGAGGAUUUUAAAAAAAAAUCAAUUUUAGAAUAAGUCUGUAACGUAACAAAAUGUGGAAAAGGGGAAGGGGUCUGAAUACUUUCCUAAUGCUCUGUACAUAUUGGUCAAACACGUACAUGAUGUAAAAAUGUUACAUUUUGGUGCUCUUGAUUCAGUUAAAGUAUUUGGAAGUAGGCUAUUCGACAUUUUAAACUGUAGCCCUGAAUGUUGAUUGGCUGACAGCCGUGGUAUAUCAGGCCGUAUACCACGGGUAUGACAAAAUUGCUCUAACUACUUUGGUAACCAGUUUAAAAUAGCAGUAAGGCACCUCUGGGGUUUGCGAUAUACGGCCAACAUGCUAAGGGUUUGCGUUGCGUUGUGCCUAAGAGCAGCUCUUAGCUGUGGUAUAUUGGCCAUAUACCACACCCCUCCCUGUGGCCUUAUUGCUUAAAUAUAGAGCUAGUACUUGACCAAAGUUACCAUGGCGCCAUCAUAGUUUCAUCUCAAUGUUCUGUUGUGUUUCAAUAUCAAUAGUUACACUGACAUCACAGUUAUCUUAGUGUCAACUACACACACACACACACACACACACACACACACACACACACACACACACACACACACACACACACACAAACACGUCUGCUAAAAGAUAUACACACUAUAUACAGUUGAAGUCGGAAGUGUACAUACACCUCAGCCAAAUACAUUUAAACUCAGUUUUUCACAAUUCCUGACAUUUAAUCCUAGUAAAAAUUCCCUGUCUUAGGUCAGUUAGGAUCACCACUUUAUUUUAAGAAUGUGAAAUGUCGGAAUAAUAGUAGAGAGAAUGAUUUAUUUCAGCUUUUAUUUAUUUCAUCACAUUCCCAGUGGGUCAGAAGUUUACAUACACUCAAUUAGUAUUUGGCAGCAUUGCCUUUAAAUUGUUUAACUUGGGUCAAACAUUUCGGGUAGCCUUCCACAAGCUUCCCACAAUAAGUUGGGUGAAUUUUGGCUCAUUCCUCCUGACAGAGCUGGUGUAACUGAGUCAGGUUUGUAGGCUGGGGUCACUGUUCAUUUGGAAGACCCAUUUGUGACCAAGCUUUAACUUCUUAACUGAUGUCUUGAGAUUUUGCUUCAAUAUAUCAACGCACCCCCAUAACAUGAUGCUGCCACCCCGUGCUUCACGGUUGGGAUGGUGUUCUUCGGCUUGCAAGCCUCUCCCU
rnacentral:lncRNA from 13 species